UACGGGGGGGGCAAGCGUUGUUCGGAAUUACUGGGCGUAAAGGGCCAGUAGGCGGCCAACUAAGUCGGAUGUGAAAUCCCCAGGCUUAACCUGGGAACUGCAUCCGAUACUGGAUGGCUUGAGUACGGAAGAGGCGAGUGGAAUUCCCGGUGUAGCGGUGAAAUGCGCAGAUAUCAGGAGGAACACCGGUGGCGAAGGCGGGUCUCUGGGCCGAUACUGACGCUGAGGAGCGAAAGCGUGGGGAGCGAACAGG
rnacentral:rRNA from 1 species